rnacentral:tRNA from 1 species
AAGGAUUUAAGUUAAAAAAACUCAUAACCUUCAAAGUUAUAAAUAAAGAAAAGCUUUAAGCCUUA